GGGUUGUGAGGUUAAGCGACUAAGCGUACACGGUGGAUGCCCUGGCAGUCAGAGGCGAUGAAGGACGUGCUAAUCUGCGAUAAGCGUCGGUAAGGUGAUAUGAACCGUUAUAACCGGCGAUUUCCGAAUGGGGAAACCCAGUGUGUUUCGACACACUAUCAUUAACUGAAUCCAUAGGUUAAUGAGGCGAACCGGGGGAACUGAAACAUCUAAGUACCCCGAGGAAAAGAAAUCAACCGAGAUUCCCCCAGUAGCGGCGAGCGAACGGGGAGCAGCCCAGAGCCUGAAUCAGUGUGUGUGUUAGUGGAAGCGUCUGGAAAGGCGCGCGAUACAGGGUGACAGCCCCGUACACAAAAAUGCACAUACUGUGAGCUCGAUGAGUAGGGCGGGACACGUGGUAUCCUGUCUGAAUAUGGGGGGACCAUCCUCCAAGGCUAAAUACUCCUGACUGACCGAUAGUGAACCAGUACCGUGAGGGAAAGGCGAAAAGAACCCCGGCGAGGGGAGUGAAAAAGAACCUGAAACCGUGUACGUACAAGCAGUGGGAGCACGCUUCGGCGUGUGACUGCGUACCUUUUGUAUAAUGGGUCAGCGACUUAUAUUCUGUAGCAAGGUUAACCGAAUAGGGGAGCCGAAGGGAAACCGAGUCUUAACUGGGCGUUAAGUUGCAGGGUAUAGACCCGAAACCCGGUGAUCUAGCCAUGGGCAGGUUGAAGGUUGGGUAACACUAACUGGAGGACCGAACCGACUAAUGUUGAAAAAUUAGCGGAUGACUUGUGGCUGGGGGUGAAAGGCCAAUCAAACCGGGAGAUAGCUGGUUCUCCCCGAAAGCUAUUUAGGUAGCGCCUCGUGAAUUCAUCUCCGGGGGUAGAGCACUGUUUCGGCAAGGGGGUCAUCCCGACUUACCAACCCGAUGCAAACUGCGAAUACCGGAGAAUGUUAUCACGGGAGACACACGGCGGGUGCUAACGUCCGUCGUGAAGAGGGAAACAACCCAGACCGCCAGCUAAGGUCCCAAAGUCAUGGUUAAGUGGGAAACGAUGUGGGAAGGCCCAGACAGCCAGGAUGUUGGCUUAGAAGCAGCCAUCAUUUAAAGAAAGCGUAAUAGCUCACUGGUCGAGUCGGCCUGCGCGGAAGAUGUAACGGGGCUAAACCAUGCACCGAAGCUGCGGCAGCGACACUAUGUGUUGUUGGGUAGGGGAGCGUUCUGUAAGCCUGUGAAGGUGUGCUGUGAGGCAUGCUGGAGGUAUCAGAAGUGCGAAUGCUGACAUAAGUAACGAUAAAGCGGGUGAAAAGCCCGCUCGCCGGAAGACCAAGGGUUCCUGUCCAACGUUAAUCGGGGCAGGGUGAGUCGACCCCUAAGGCGAGGCCGAAAGGCGUAGUCGAUGGGAAACAGGUUAAUAUUCCUGUACUUGGUGUUACUGCGAAGGGGGGACGGAGAAGGCUAUGUUGGCCGGGCGACGGUUGUCCCGGUUUAAGCGUGUAGGCUGGUUUUCCAGGCAAAUCCGGAAAAUCAAGGCUGAGGCGUGAUGACGAGGCACUACGGUGCUGAAGCAACAAAUGCCCUGCUUCCAGGAAAAGCCUCUAAGCAUCAGGUAACAUUAAAUCGUACCCCAAACCGACACAGGUGGUCAGGUAGAGAAUACCAAGGCGCUUGAGAGAACUCGGGUGAAGGAACUAGGCAAAAUGGUGCCGUAACUUCGGGAGAAGGCACGCUGAUAUGUAGGUGAAGUCCCUCGCGGAUGGAGCUGAAAUCAGUCGAAGAUACCAGCUGGCUGCAACUGUUUAUUAAAAACACAGCACUGUGCAAACACGAAAGUGGACGUAUACGGUGUGACGCCUGCCCGGUGCCGGAAGGUUAAUUGAUGGGGUUAGCGGUAACGCGAAGCUCUUGAUCGAAGCCCCGGUAAACGGCGGCCGUAACUAUAACGGUCCUAAGGUAGCGAAAUUCCUUGUCGGGUAAGUUCCGACCUGCACGAAUGGCGUAAUGAUGGCCAGGCUGUCUCCACCCGAGACUCAGUGAAAUUGAACUCGCUGUGAAGAUGCAGUGUACCCGCGGCAAGACGGAAAGACCCCGUGAACCUUUACUAUAGCUUGACACUGAACAUUGAGCCUUGAUGUGUAGGAUAGGUGGGAGGCUUUGAAGUGUGGACGCCAGUCUGCAUGGAGCCGACCUUGAAAUACCACCCUUUAAUGUUUGAUGUUCUAACGUUGACCCGUAAUCCGGGUUGCGGACAGUGUCUGGUGGGUAGUUUGACUGGGGCGGUCUCCUCUUAAAGAGUAACGGAGGAGCACGAAGGUUGGCUAAUCCUGGUCGGACAUCAGGAGGUUAGUGCAAUGGCAUAAGCCAGCUUGACUGCGAGCGUGACGGCGCGAGCAGGUGCGAAAGCAGGUCAUAGUGAUCCGGUGGUUCUGAAUGGAAGGGCCAUCGCUCAACGGAUAAAAGGUACUCCGGGGAUAACAGGCUGAUACCGCCCAAGAGUUCAUAUCGACGGCGGUGUUUGGCACCUCGAUGUCGGCUCAUCACAUCCUGGGGCUGAAGUAGGUCCCAAGGGUAUGGCUGUUCGCCAUUUAAAGUGGUACGCGAGCUGGGUUUAGAACGUCGUGAGACAGUUCGGUCCCUAUCUGCCGUGGGCGCUGGAGAACUGAGGGGGGCUGCUCCUAGUACGAGAGGACCGGAGUGGACGCAUCACUGGUGUUCGGGUUGUCAUGCCAAUGGCACUGCCCGGUAGCUAAAUGCGGAAGAGAUAAGUGCUGAAAGCAUCUAAGCACGAAACUUGCCCCGAGAUGAGUUCUCCCUGACUCCUUGAGAGUCCUGAAGGAACGUUGAAGACGACGACGUUGAUAGGCCGGGUGUGUAAGCGCAGCGAUGCGUUGAGCUAACCGGUACUAAUGAACCGUGAGGCUUAACCUUACAACGCCGAAGCUGUU
rnacentral:rRNA from 1 species